UAACGUGGUUCACUUUUUUGAAUAUGGGGACUAAUUUAGUGCAAUCGGGAUCUGGAGGACUAAAUCAGUGCAACUCGCCAAUCUCAGGGACUAAAAUAGGACUUAACUCUCUCAAAAUUUAUUAGUUUCUUACUGCAAC